GUCGAGCGGCGGACGGGUGAGUAACGCGUAGGAAUCUACCCAGUAGUGGGGGAUAGCCCGGGGAAACUCGGAUUAAUACCGCAUACGCCCUACGGGGGAAAGGCCGGGAUCUUCGGACCUCGCGCUAUUGGAUGAGCCUGCGUAGGAUUAGCUUGUUGGUGAGGUAAAGGCUCACCAAGGCGACGAUCCAUAGCUGGUCUGAGAGGAUGAUCAGCCACACUGGAACUGAGACACGGUCCAGACUCC
rnacentral:rRNA from 1 species